GGGGCUGGGCCGGGGCCUCCGCCGCUGCUGGAGUUCGAAGGCGAGGCGGCCCAGUCCUCCUCGUCGGUGAGAAGAGCGCAGAACUGUACGGCGAAUACAAGCGGUUUUUUUUCUUAUCCUGUUUUUAAUUAGAAGCAAUAUGUGUUACAUUUUGAAAAACCAAGGGGAAAAGAGUAACUGGGAGAAGAAUAAGAACUAGACCUAGCUCCACACCGGUUCUUUGUGCUUGGAAUGUCACACAUUUCUUAACCUGCGACGUUAUCUCGGCCAAGGAUGACUUCCAGUGAUCUGGGAUAUGGCGAGACAAGAGGGCUCCAGGGAGCAUUUAGGAAACUUCGUGGUUCCAGCAUUUGUCUGAGGAUCUGUGUUGCACGUCACAUCAAUUUUUGUGCAUGGAGUG